UAAAGAGUUCUAUAACUCCCAAACCCAUGUGAACAUACCUAACGUUGCCUCGGCAGGUCGCACCUACCUUGUAGCACCCUACCCUGUAGGGCCUACCCGGGAGGUGCGGGUAAGCCUGCCGGCGGCCCACCAAACUCUGUUUGAUAUUGAAUUCUGAACCUAUAACUAAAUAAGUUAAAACUUUCAACAACGGAUCUCUUGGUUCUGGCAUCGAUGAAGAACGCAGCGAAAUGCGAUAAGUAAUGUGAAUUGCAGAAUUCAGUGAAUCAUCGAAUCUUUGAACGCAUAUUGCGCCCAUUAGUAUUCUAGUGGGCAGGACCGUUCGAGCGUCAUUUCAACCCUUAAGCCUUCGUUGCUUAGUGUUGGGAGCCUACGGCAACGUAGCUCCUCAAAGUUAGUGGCGGAGUUGGUUCACACUCUAGACGUAGUAAUUUUUUAUCUCGCCUAUUAGUUGGACUAAUCCCCUGCCGUAAAACCCCCAAUUUAUAUCAAGGUUGACCUCGAAUCGGUUCAGACAAACUCGCUAAAUUGAAGCAUCUUAGUCAGCGAAGGAAAAGAAACCAACAGGGAUUGCCCUAGUAACGGCGAGUGAAGCGGCAACAGCUCAAAUUUGAAAU
rnacentral:rRNA from 1 species